UACGUAGGCAGCGAGCGUUGUUCGGAAUUACUGGGCGUAAAGAGUGUGUAGGCGGUGCUCCCAGUCUGUUGUGAAAUCUCCCGGCUUAACUGGGAGGGUGCAGCGGAAACUAGAGUGCUAGAGGGUGGGAGAGGUAAGCGGAAUUCCUGGUGUAGCGGUGAAAUGCGUAGAUAUCAUUUGGAACGCCAAUGGUGAAAACAGCUCGCUGGGAAUGAUCUGACGCUGAGACGCGAAAGCCAGGGGAGCGAACGGG
rnacentral:rRNA from 1 species